AUGUCCGGCCAGGCACGCUUUGCCCACACCGACCCAUCCCGCCGCCCUCGCACCAGCCAUGGCAUGGUAGUCUCUUCCCCGGCCAUGGACCACCAGGUGUUCGUCCUGCGCCAGCACGCAGUCACCCUGACCGCGCCAGAGGGGCCUGGCGCGGCAAGCCCUCUGCUGGUGGGGUGCGCUUUUGAGGAGCAACUGCGCGUCCAGCCGCACCUUCUGCGCAUCACGGCCCACCACCCCGAGCCUUUCUUCGUCUACUUCGAGCUUCCAGCACUCCGCGAUAACGCCAUGGCGAGGGGCUUCGUUAUGGUCGACGGAGUCCGCUUCGUCAUCAACCCUUGGCACGAAGACGACCACGCAGCGCUGCUCAACCUCUCCCUCCACGUGCGCAUCAUCGUCGAGAACCUGCCGAUGCAAUUCUGGUCGCUGGAGGGGGCUGAGGAGGUGCUGGGGAAGAUGUGCCGCGUCGACCUCCUCGACAGCAGGACGCACGAGCACGACCAUACCAAGAUUUUCGCCUGCUGGGUCUAG
rnacentral:rRNA from 1 species